AUCCACUUUCCUUCCCUUUUCCUUGUUGCACAUACCCUUUCCUCUUUCCUAAACCCUUGCCACGUAUCCUCUUUCCCUUUUCCCUUGGAUUCUGAUUUGACUUAGCCUUUUUCCUUGUGGAUUUAGAGUUAAAAUCUUUCUACAAUAAUUAAAACUUAAUUCCUUUCCCUUUAUUUUCUGCCGCACCCUAGCCUUAAUUCCCUAGGGUUUUGACAUACUUUGCUAUAAAUAAAAGCCUUUGCCGAACCAUUCAAAUCAUCCAUUCACUAUCAUUCACUCUUAGCCAUUCUUCUAUACAAUUCAUCAAUUCAACCUUCACCCACACCUUGUGCCGCAGCAAAGGAGGAGAAUGAGGAGCCUUGGACGUAUUGGCCAUUCAAGUUAGAUUGCUGGACGUUUUUAAGUGUAAUCUAUUUUAGUUCUCAAUGUUUAAUUUAUAUUCUCUUUGUUUUGCUGUGAACAUGAGAGGCUAAACUCGUUUUAGCUAGAGGAGACUUUGAAACCAUGAUUAUAUAUGCAAUAUGAGUUGGUUAUUUCCAGUUAUAAUUUUGUGAAUUGUGAAUGCAAUUGACUUAAUUGUUUGAUUCAAAACUUAUUCUUGUAUGUUUAUUAAGGAGGCCUACUUAGUUUGCAUGCAUGAAUUUGAUGCUAGGAUAUAAGGGAGUUUCACAUAAUCGUUACAAACUUAUAUUCACAAGUAGUGAAGGUCGCUGGUCACGAUCAUGUUAAGUUAAAUUCCUGGCAUGAGUAUCAUGAUGUCAUAGUUGCGAAUGCCUUGUCAAUGCUUAUGAUUUUCACAGAGCUUAAUGAUCUUUGCUUGUGUCUCUAUUAUGCAGUUCAUGUAGGGAACUUGGGAAGAAUAAUUUGGUUGUCGAUGCGUUGUCCGUCCAAUUCAAUGACUUAAGGAAAAUCUGAGGGUUAAUUAGUGAUGACAUGGUUAAUGUGGGGCAUUGUCAUUCAUGGUUUAUUGAAAGAGUAACUUGAACAAUCAAUUCGUGUGCAUAUGAGUCAUGUGUGGAGAAGGACCCUCUAGCUAGCCCAUCAUCCAUUAAUUCACCCAAUUUCGUCCAAACUUUGUUUAAGUUUACAAUAUGCUUGUUUUUACUUUAAAUUCGUCAAAAACCCAAUUCCCCUUUACUUUAUUGUGUUAAGGUAGUUAGAAUCUGUCCAAUUUGUGUU
rnacentral:lncRNA from 1 species